UCCUUCUCCUUCGUUCACUUCAUUAGAUCCCAGCAGCGACAAGCGAGACCAUUGCAGCAAGCAACGAAUAAGAUUUUCUAGUGUGUUUUUGGAGAAGCUGAGAACUCACUUCAAAAACAUCAAAGAGAAGUAUCAAACAAACAUUAUGAUUACAAGAUCUACGGCCGUAUGGGCAGUUUUUAAGGCUGGAUCUGGGCUGAGCCAUUGUAGCUAUCUAAAGUCUAGAUCCGUGGGGGAAAUCGUCUGGCGGUUCGGUGAGUAGUGCCGCUAGUGAAGUGCCGGUUCUUCCCUUCCACAGGUUGACGCCGACGUCGAGGCUUGUCGGCGAACAGAUUCUGGUUGCGGCGGCGAGGACCUCCUUUGUUGUGAUUAGGGUUUUUUUUUGUUGAUUUUAGGUUCCGGUUGAACCGGCAUAUUGUUACCGGUUCAAUUCUGUAACUCUUAACCAAUUAAUACAAAUAUUCAUUUUUAAUUAAUUAAAAA